CCUACGGGAGGCAGCAGUGAGGAAUAUUGGUCAAUGGACGAGAGCCUGAACCAGCCAAGUAGCGUGAAGGAUGACGGCCCUAUGGGUUGUAAACUUCUUUUACAUGGGAAUAACAUGUUCCACGUGUGGGGUUUUGUAUGUACCAUACGAAUAAGGGUCGGCUAACUCCGUGCCAGCAGCCGCGGUAAUACGGAGGGUCCGAGCGUUAUCCGGAUUUAUUGGGUUUAAAGGGCGCGUAGGUGGAUGGUUAAGUCAGGUGGUAAAGUUGGCGGCUCAACCGUAAAAUUGCAGUUGAAACUGGCUGUCUUGAGUGCAGAAGAGGCAGGCGGAAGUCGUGGUGUAGCGGUGAAAUGCAUAGAUAUCACGAGGAACUCCGAUUGCGAAGGCAG
rnacentral:rRNA from 1 species